CUCGCAGUCCACUCUUUUAAUUUAUUAUUUUUAUUUUAUUUUUCUCGAGGCCCACUCCAGAGUGCAGCGUAAUGACGUAUUUGCAUUUGGACUCUUCCGACGGCAUCUCGCUAAAAAACAAACAAACCGUCGCACACUCAAUGGUAGGCUACCCUUCAGUUAGUGGUGCGUGCUGGAGAAUGCUACCGUCGAGCAAAAAUAAGCUGUAAAAAAUGGAUAGGCUAAUAGAAAGCUGAAAAGGCAAGAAAUAAAAACCGGAAAGUUCAAAGUGAUGUGGCCAAGUGACCCAAACUGAGGAACUUUUUCAUUAAAACAGCGAAAGUGAAAGAAAAUGAAGACGAUGUGACGGCUCCUGAGUAGCAGCCAGAAGUCCAGUUUGCUGCUAGACGUGAUAAUGAAGAGCCAGUACCAAGCACCAGCUCCAGGUGGACAGAUGUUGAACUGCAAACACAUUCUUUGAAAUCAGUCAGACAACAUCAGAUUGACAAGCUUCGGGACACGACCACGACCCAGGAGUGCUUGAUGUUUAAAUACAGAAGGGUCAGAUGGUAUUAUUACGGUGAGGCUCUGGUUAGAGGAGUCACAGUAAGGUUGAUGAUAACAUUAGAAAACAAGUUAAAGGCAGAUGCUGCUUAGGCACUGCUGCUUGAACAGUUCAACCCAGGCCUUUUCCAGAUGUCAACAAAGCCAUCUGAUGCCCUUGUCUCUGGGAUUCAGUCACUGGGCUGUCAUUCAAAUGUGCACAAAAUGCCAGCUUUAAAGUCAAUUCUUGGACACAAGGCAACGGAAAAAGACAAUACACAUGGAGAAGGACAACAAAUCAGAAAGACAGAGAUCAUUAUUUAUACAAACCCAAUAUGACAUCAGCGGUGAUUACGCUUUUUGCAUUGCCAAAGGAAAAAUCAGUAUGGCUUGUUGUGACUCACGGGAUUCUCCUGUGCUUUCACUGAAACAAAGCGAGAA